AAUCCAUAGGUUAAUGAGGCGAACCGGGGGAACUGAAACAUCUAAGUACCCCGAGGAAAAGAAAUCAACCGAGAUUCCCCCAGUAGCGGCGAGCGAACGGGGAGGAGCCCAGAGCCUGAAUCAGCAUGUGUGUUAGUGGAAGCGUCUGGAAAGGCGCGCGAUACAGGGUGACAGCCCCGUACACAAAAGCGCAUGUGCUGUGAGCUCGAUGAGUAGGGCGGGACACGUGGUAUCCUGUCUGAAUAUGGGGGGACCAUCCUCCAAGGCUAAAUACUCCUGACUGACCGAUAGUGAACCAGUACCGUGAGGGAAAGGCGAAAAGAACCCCGGCGAGGGGAGUGAAAAAGAACCUGAAACCGUGUACGUACAAGCAGUGGGAGCACCCUUCGGGGUGUGACUGCGUACCUUUUGUAUAAUGGGUCAGCGACUUAUAUUCUGUAGCAAGGUUAACCGAAUAGGGGAGCCGGAGGGAAACCGAGUCUUAAUUGGGCGUUAAGUUGCAGGGUAUAGACCCGAAACCCGGUGAUCUAGCCAUGGGCAGGUUGAAGGUUGGGUAACACUAACUGGAGGACCGAACCGACUAAUGUUGAAAAAUUAGCGGAUGACCUGUGGCUGGGGGUGAAAGGCCAAUCAAACCGGGAGAUAGCUGGUUCUCCCCGAAAGCUAUUUAGGUAGCGCCUCGUGAAUUCAUCUCCGGGGGUAGAGCACUGUUUCGGCUAGGGGGCCAUCCCGGCUUACCAACCCGAUGCAAACUGCGAAUACCGGAGAAUGUUAUCACGGGAGACACACGGCGGGUGCUAACGUCCGUCGUGAAGAGGGAAACAACCCAGACCGCCAGCUAAGGUCCCAAAGUCAUGGUUAAGUGGGAAACGAUGUGGGAAGGCCCAGACAGCCAGGAUGUUGGCUUAGAAGCAGCCAUCAUUUAAAGAAAGCGUAAUAGCUCACUGGUCGAGUCGGCCUGCGCGGAAGAUGUAACGGGGCUAAACCAUGCACCGAAGCUGCGGCAGCGACGCUGAUGCGUUGUUGGGUAGGGGAGCGUUCUGUAAGCCUGUGAAGGUGGCCUGUGAGGGUUGCUGGAGGUAUCAGAAGUGCGAAUGCUGACAUAAGUAACGAUAAAGCGGGUGAAAAGCCCGCUCGCCGGAAGACCAAGGGUUCCUGUCCAACGUUAAUCGGGGCAGGGUGAGUCGACCCCUAAGGCGAGGCCGAAAGGCGUAGUCGAUGGGAAACGGGUUAAUAUUCCCGUACUUGGUGUUACUGCGAAGGGGGGACGGAGAAGGCUAUGUUGGCCGGGCGACGGUUGUCCCGGUUUAAGCGUGUAGGUGUGUGUUCCAGGUAAAUCCGGUUCACUUUAACACUGAGGCGUGA
rnacentral:rRNA from 1 species